GGUACGGUGGGUUCGCCCCGAACAAAAGAGAUGCUGAUCUCCCGCCAGACUUCGCAGUCAUGGCAGAAUUCCACUAUCCACCCCCUCCCCCGCUUGCCAGAUUUUUUAUAUUUCAAUUGUUAUCUGCUCCAAGAAUGUAUAAAGUUCCACUGAAAAUUCUCCGGACUUCCUACACUACUGAGGUUGAAAAGGGGAUAGGAGACGUCCCCCUGAAGCCAACAGCUCUAACACAAUGACGUUACUCCCGAAGGCUUUGCGAAGGAGUCCACUUCAUCUAGUAAAACGGAAAGAACUUCUGUGCAACUGGACCACUUCACCAGGCUGCAUCUACUUCCCAAGACAGGCAGCAUGUGGUUGGGAAAUCUUUAUUUAUAUUAAUUGUUGAUACUUUUUCCAGUUUGGCUUUAUCUUAUGUUGGCGACAAGAUUUUAAGCCC
rnacentral:lncRNA from 1 species